CCUACGGGAGGCUGCAGUGAGGAAUAUUGGUCAAUGGACGAGAGUCUGAACCAGCCAAGUAGCGUGAAGGAUGACUGCCCUAUGGGUUGUAAACUUCUUUUAUAUGGGAAUAAAAUGUUCCACGUGUGGGAUUUUGUAUGUACCAUAUGAAUAAGGAUCGGCUAACCCCGUGCCAGCAGCCGCGGUAAUACGGAGGAUCCGAGCGUUAUCCGGAUUUAUUGGGUUUAAAGGGAGCGUAGGUGGAUUGUUAAGUCAGUUGUGAAAGUUUGCGGCUCAACCGUAAAAUUGCAGUUGAAACUGGCAGUCGUGAGUACAGUAGAGGUGGGCGGAAUUCGUGGUGUAGCGGUGAAAUGCUGAGAUAUCACGAAGAACUCCGAUUGCGAAGGCAGCUCACUGGACUGCAACUGACACUGAGGCUCGAAAGUGUGGGUAUCAAACAGGAUUAGAUACCCUUGUAGUC
rnacentral:rRNA from 1 species